AACGAACGCUGGCGGCAUGCCUAACACAUGCAAGUCGAACGAGACCUUCGGGUCUAGUGGCGCACGGGUGCGUAACGCGUGGGAAUCUGCCCUUGGGUUCGGAAUAACAGUGAGAAAUUACUGCUAAUACCGGAUGAUGUCUUCGGGCCAAAGAUUUAUCGCCCAGGGAUGAGCCCGCGUAGGAUUAGCUAGUUGGUGGGGUAAUGGCCUACCAAGGCGACGAUCCUUAGCUGGUCUGAGAGGAUGAUCAGCCACACUGGGACUGAGACACGGCCCAGACUCCUACGGGAGGCAGCAGUGGGGAAUAUUGGACAAUGGGCGCAAGCCUGAUCCAGCAAUGCCGCGUGAGUGAUGAAGGCCUUAGGGUUGUAAAGCUCUUUUACCCGGGAUGAUAAUGACAGUACCGGGAGAAUAAGCUCCGGCUAACUCCGUG
rnacentral:rRNA from 1 species